rnacentral:sRNA from 1 species
GGGGUUGUACUGGUUUCGACGGGGUUUUUGAAGUCAGGGAAGCCACUCGUGGACUGGGACCACGUAAAAACUCAGAUUUUAAAAUUAAACGCAAACGAAAAUUUAGCGUACGCUGCCUAGUGGCAGUUGUCGACCUUGAGUCACUCGCUGCUUAAGUGUUCGGCAUCGACUUUGCGAGGCACUUCAUUACCAAAGCUUUGAGGUUUUGAAAGAUUUAUGAAGCUACUAAGAUGAUAAGCCUGUCAGUGGGCGUAUGAUUGAGGGAAUGUUAAAACAUUGACUGUAGUGGGAGAUGCCUUGAGGGAUAGGGCUUCGGACAGGGGUUCGAUUCCCCUCAGCUCCAUC